rnacentral:rRNA from 1 species
AGAGUUUGAUUCUGGCUCAGGAUGAACGCUAGCUACAGGCUUAACACAUGCAAGUCGGGGGCAGCGAGAGGAAGCUUGCUUCCUGUCGGCGACCGGCGCACGGGUGAGUAACGCGUAUCCAACCUUCCCCAUAGUAGAGGAUAGCCCGGCGAAAGUCGGAUUAAUACUCUAUGUUGUGUCAUGAGGACAUCUGAAUAACACUAAAGAUUUAUCGCUAUGGGAUGGGGAUGCGUCUGAUUAGGUAGUCGGCGGGGUAACGGCCCACCGAGCCGACGAUCAGUAGGGGUUCUGAGAGGAAGGUCCCCCACAUUGGUACUGAGACACGGACCAAACUCCUACGGGAGGCAGCAGUGAGGAAUAUUGGUCAAUGGACGAGAGUCUGAACCAGCCAAGUAGCGUGCAAGGAUGACUGCCCUAUGGGUUGUAAACUGCUUUUAUGCGGGAAUAAAGUCAGGUACGUGUACCUGUUUGUAUGUACCGCAUGAAUAAGGACCGGCUAAUUCCGUGCCAGCAGCCGC